rnacentral:rRNA from 1 species
UGCCAGCCGCCGCGGUAAUACGUAUGUCUCAAGCGUUACCCGGAAUCACUGGGUGUAAAGGGUUCGUAGGCGGCGAAAUAAGUUGGAUAUGAAAGACCGGAGCUCAACUCCGUGUUUGUCUUCAAAACUGUUUUGCUAGAAUUAGGGAGAGGUAAGCGGAAUUCUAAGUGUAGGGGUGCAAUCCGUAGAUACUUAGAGGAACACCAAAAGCGAAGGCAGCUUACUGGAACUAUAUUGACGCUCAUGAACGAAAGCGUGGGUAGCGAAAAGGAUUAGAUA